rnacentral:rRNA from 1 species
UGGCGGCGUGCCUAAUACACUGCAAGUCGAGCGGACCGACGGGAGCUUGCUCCCUUAGGUCAGCGGCGGACGGGUGAGGUAACACGUGGGUAACCUGCCUGUAAGACUGGGAUAACUCCGGGAAACCGGGGCUAAUACCGGAUGCUUAAUUGAACCGCAUGGUUCAAUUAUAAAAGGUGGCUUCGGCUACCACUUACAGAUGGACCCGCGGCGCAUUAGCUAGUUGGUGAGGUAACGGCUCACCAAGGCAACGAUGCGUAGCCGACCUGAGAGGGUGAUCGGCCACACUGGGACUGAGACACGGCCCAGACUCCUACGGGAGGCAGCAGUAGGGAAUCUUCCGCAAUGGACGAAAGUCUGACGGAGCAACGCCGCCGUGAGUGAUGAAGGUUUUCGGAUCGUAAAACUCUGUUGUUAGGGAAGAACAAGUACCGUUCGAAUAGGGCGGUACCUUGACGGUACCUAACCAGAAAGCCACGGCUAACUACGUGCCAGCCGCUGC